GGUGAGUAACACGUGGAUAACCUACCUAUAAGACUGGGAUAACUUCGGGAAACCGGAGCUAAUACCGGAUAAUAUAUUGAACCGCAUGGUUCAAUAGUGAAAGACGGUUUUGCUGUCACCUAUAGAUGGAUCCGCGCCGCAUUAGCUAGUUGGUAAGGUAACGGCUUACCAAGGCAACGAUGCGUAGCCGACCUGAGAGGGUGAUCGGCCACACUGGAACUGAGACACGGUCCAG
rnacentral:rRNA from 1 species